ACCAUGUGAUGGUCUCAGACUUGGUGAAGAGGGGCUGGCUUCCUUCCCAGAGAAGAGCCAAAGUUUGUUUCAUCCACACGUGUCCCGGCCUGAAGGUGACUGAGCAGCCAGCGAGUGAAUAUGAGGUCCUCCCCUGGCUCAUGACAGAAAUGAUCCAGACAUCUAUUCUUCCUGUAAGACUCUCACACACCUCAUGAAACUCUGCUUUCCCCAUCUGUCAAGAACCCUCUGGCCAUAUGGAACUCAAACAUAGAACAUUUUUUUGGAGCCAUAGCUCUGACGGACUUGUUGUCUAGGAUGCUCUUGUUCUGAGGCUCCGGGGACUCUGUCUUCAGUAACAUCCAGCAGCUUGGAAGCACUGGUGAAGUUCAGAAAUGUUUGCAGAACAUUUCUGCAAAGUGAGAGGAGGCUCACUUUGUAAAGUGCUUGCUUGCUGCAUAAACAUGAGGGCAAGAAUUUGAUCCUCCAGAAACUGUGAAAACCCUGGUGCUUGCUUGUUAUCCCAGCACGGCAG
rnacentral:lncRNA from 1 species